UCUCAAAGCUCAAGAUAGAACUGAAAACUGCAAAAACUAAUUACAACUCUAGCUCUUUUUGUAUUAAAAUUGUUUAAAAUACGUGGAUUUUGAACUCCAAAAUGUCAUUUUGAAUGUACAAUUAUCCAGAGUUAUACCUCUUAUUAACAACAUCUUAAUAGCUUUAAUUUUCAAGAAUUUUAUAACAACUAUUGAUAAUUCGAUUGUGUUUCUUUUACAUUUAAGAUUUGGGAACUCUGAGAAACUUGACGUACUUACUUUUGGAUGGAAAUGCAUUGGACAAGGACUUUCUACAGCGCAGUGGCGUAAUGUCGUCCCUUAAAGUAUUAUCAGUAUCUAACUGCAACCUGAAUGGAACAUUACCUGUUCAAGGCUUGUGCGAUCUAAAAUGUCUUGAAGAACUGAGUCUCAGCUUCAACAACUUCCAUGGAAAUCUCCCUCCAUGUCUUGGAAACUUACCAUUUCUUCGAGUAAUUGAUCUCACUCAAAAUCAGUUUACCGGAAACAUUGCUUCUGUUAGCAUGAUGUAAAUAUUGUAUAUUAAUGUAAUCAUAUAUUGUUGUAUAUUGGUGUAAUUACAUAGAUUUGAUUUAGUAGUUAAAGAGAAUAAUAGUGACUUUAGUAAGAUCAGAUUUGGUGAGAUAGAAUAGCGGAUUUAGAGGGAUAGAAAAGCUAAUCUUUAGGGAUAGGAAGACGAAUCUUUAGGGA